CCUACGGGAGGCAGCAGUGAGGAAUAUUGGACAAUGGGCGCAAGCCUGAUCCAGCCAUGCCGCGUGCAGGAUGACGGUCCUAUGGAUUGUAAACUGCUUUUGCACAGGAAGAAACAACGCUACGUGUAGCGUCUUGACGGUACUGUGAGAAUAAGGAUCGGCUAACUCCGUGCCAGCAGCCGCGGUAAUACGGAGGAUCCAAGCGUUAUCCGGAAUCAUUGGGUUUAAAGGGUCCGUAGGCGGUUUAGUAAGUCAGUGGUGAAAGCCCAUCGCUCAACGGUGGAACGGCCAUUGAUACUGCUAGACUUGAAUUAUUAGGAAGUAACUAGAAUAUGUAGUGUAGCGGUGAAAUGCUUAGAGAUUACAUGGAAUACCAAUUGCGAAGGCAGGUUACUACUAAUUGAUUGACGCUGAUGGACGAAAGCGUGGGUAGCGAACAGGAUUAGAUACCCUGGUAGUCCACGCCGUAAACGAUGGAUACUAGCUGUUGGGANCUAAUUCAGUGGCUAAGCGAAAGUGAAUAAGUAUCCCACGUGGGGAGUACGUUCGCAAGAAUGAAACUGAAAGGUAAUUGACGGNUGAGAGAGACGAGGACGACGACGAGGGAGGAGG
rnacentral:rRNA from 1 species